rnacentral:rRNA from 1 species
GACGAACGCUGGCGGCGUGCUUAACACAUGCAAGUCGAACGAUGAUGCUGGAGCUUGCUCCAGUUGAUUAGUGGCGAACGGGUGAGUAACACGUGAGCAAUCUGCCCUUGACUCUGGGAUAACUGCGGGAAACUGUAGCUAAUACCGGAUACUUUCACCGGGGGGCAUCCUCUGGUGAUGAAAGAAUUUCGGUCAAGGAUGAGCUCGCGGCCUAUCAGCUUGUUGGUGAGGUAACGGCUCACCAAGGCGACGACGGGUAACCGGCCUGAGAGGGUGAACGGUCACACUGGGACCGAGACACGGCCCAGACUCCUACGGGAGGCAGCAGUGGGGAAGAUUGCACAAUGGGCGCAAGCCUGAUGCAGCAACGCCGCGUGAGGGAUGAAGGCCUUCGGGUUGUAAACCUCUUUUAGCAGGGAAGAAGCGAAAGUGACGGCACCUGCAGAAAAAGCACCGGCUAACUACGUGCCAGCCGCCGCGGUAA